ACAAGCCAUUGUGUUGACGUUUUAGAUUACAUUGGUGUUGUAACAUCGUUUGGAGUUCGUUUAUGUCUGAUUUGUAAAAAUGCGGAAGAAGUUAAAGUAUUCUAGUCUUGAUAUGCGCGUCGACGACGGCUUAAACCGAGUUUUUUUGAUUUGUGAAAAUCAAGUAAUAUGAAAGAGCGGCUAUUAUAUUUUAACGUUCGUACGUUUGAAUAAAAUUUGCGUGAAAUGAAGACGAAAGAAGAAUAGAGCUGGGUAUCAGAGGUCCAAUGGUAAUGAGUUUUUGAAGUCUUUUGUUGUUGACUUGUGAUGUCUGAUUCUUGAAACAUACAAUGGGCCGCGUAUAACUACUGUAUUGGAGAUUGCGCGGCUUUCUUUGCGAAGAGUGUGUACUAAUGAAAUGGGCUAUUUCUGUAUACCUUUUUAGUGUAUAACUGAAACUAUAGCCAACCCGCUGUCAGGAUUUAAAGAUACAAAUAAAGGUUCAAACAGAGCGCGCUUCUUAAUGUUAAAAUCCGAUGGCAGAUGAUGCAGAUAUUAGGAUUCUAAUGAUGCGAUUGUGGGCGAUUUAUGAUUAUUCGAUUGAUUAAUAGGACGAGUCUACAUCUGUUUAAGGGAUCGGAACCACAACCGCUAUUUAUUAGGGUUGCAGAAAAAUCAUGAGAGUGUUAUAUACGGUGGAUCCUAUUAAUUCAAGCAGGUUAACCUAACCCGAGAGCGCCAAGACAUUUUUACUGCUUUGUUACUAUGUUCUUGCCUAUACUAGUUUAAAAACAAGUUUAAAAGUUCUUGUCGUAUGUGGUAUGCAAGUUACAGAAAAAUACCGCUGGUUUCUAUGUGUCUUAAAGGUUGGGACUCUUAAGAUUUCAAUGUUUGCUGUAGUGAUGUUUUAUUCUUGAGUAGAUAAAGAUGUAAUACGUGUAACUUAUUUUCUGAAUGUGGGUGACUGCCUUUUAAGAAAAUACCAAAACUAACAAGAAAUCUACUUAAAUCAAUACAAAAUCAAUAUUUAUUUCAAAAUCAAUCUUUAGUUAAAAGAUCCAAUUAAUUUCAGCGGGCAAAGCAUAUUCCAUGCAGCCAGACUGCUUUGAUCUUGUAAGCAAAGUAAAUUUUAAUUGUUUCCUUCGUAAUAGUUCACUGAAACCGAAGUUAUUUCUAUGCGUUAUGGAAUUUAAACGACAUCCUGUUAUCCCUGUGGUUGAUUUGAAAUCCUGAAGAAACCAAUUUAAUUUGUAUAAUAAAGGUGUUUACUUUGUAGAAAUCUAUAUUAGUUAAAAAGCUUGCUAAAAAACAUAUUGUCAUAUAGAUUCAUUAGAGCGAAUCCAAUUGUGGAAUAAAUCCUGAAUUUCCAGACAAUGGGUUUAAAAUUGCUCCUACAAAGAGUUAUGUUGUGUAAGACUCCAGAAAACAAGUUGCAUGAAUUCCCAAGCACAAGAUUCUAAAGUUAUCAUAGCUUAAUUUCGUGUGAAGUAAUGUUUUUAGGUCAAGUGUUGUCCAACUAUUUUUAAUGUCUAUGCAGAAUACUUAUGGAGACCAACAUUCAAGAGGAAAGCUUUUGGAAAAUGUGGCAAAUUAUUCAGAUAACUGGAUUUAUAAACUUUGAUACAAUAGAGAUAUUUAAAAUGAAGCCUGUUCUAAAGUUUUUGCUUUAUUUUAAGCCUGGUUUCCCUGGUGUUAGUCUUAGAUUAAGCUAAGUUGGUAAAGCAUUCAAAAUAUUUCGUAGUUUAAAAACUAGGCUUAGUGCAAACAACUAUUCAAAGUAGUUACAGACCACCGGUGAUUAGACACGCUGCUCUUGGAAAACAACAUAUACUGCGACUUCUGUAGAUGGAGUUAUAAAUACUACACGCUAGGGUUCAAUUCAAACUUGUCCACGAUCUAAUUUGGUCUGAGUGGUAAAUAGGCGGUACUAUUUUGCAAAUCCAUUUUCAUGAGUUACAGAGUUUUUAUCGAAAAACUGCGCAACAAAUCGUCACCCGGAUUUAUAGAAGCAAAUGGUAGUUGUGUGGAAAUCCUUCGUUCUCCUGGUAACAAAAUUAAUUGGGUAUUGUUUCCAUCUUUACUACUUG